AACGCGAAGAACCUUACCUGGACUAGAAUGUGGGGGAAGAAAGGUUAAUACCAAUCGUCCGGGCAACCGGACCCAAAACAAGGUGCUGCAUGGCUGUCGUCAGCUCGUGUCGUGAGAUGUUGGGUUAAGUCCCGCAACGAGCGCAACCCUUAUUAACAGUUGCCAUCAUUAAGUUGGGAACUCUGUUAAGACUGCCGUUGAUAAAACGGAGGAAGGUGGGGAUGAUGUCAAGUCAUCAUGGCCUUUAUGUUCAGGGCUACACACGUGCUACAAUGGACGGUACAAAGCGUCGCAAUCUCGUAAGAGGGAGCCAAUCGCAAAAAGCUGUUCUCAGUUCGGAUUGAAGUCUGCAACUCGACUUCAUGAAGUUGGAAUCGCUAGUAAUCGCAAAUCAGCAUGUUGCGGCGAAUACGUUCCCGGGUCUGUCCCACCAAG
rnacentral:rRNA from 1 species